GACUUAGUGCUCAGGGGAUAUAAAAAUAAUGCAUUGUAUGCCGGAAGGGAUAAAUCUGGGGCUGAGUACAAGCAAAACAAGACCAAAGGAAGCUACCUGAGCAGGUAUUCCAGAUACUCAUGUCAUACACCAAGGUUGUACCAGUGCCCCUUUCUCUGUGACACAUCCAUCCACUGGAAACUUUCGUACAACUAGCUGAAAGAAGAGAAACAUCCUAUUUCAUGGUAUUACAAAGCUCAAAUCUGAGAAAACCUUGUCUACCAUCAACCCUGACCUACAGAGGAGAGGCACCCCCAAGCUUAUUAGUGAUCCUGUCUCCGUCUUAUUGGCACAUCCUGAUGGCCUUGAUCUCUAGUUCUUCCUGUGGAGCAUAACCAUAUGGUUCUUUGCCAAGAUGUUAAGACCAAAGUCGGAGAGUGAACCCCAUGUCAAUGAAUUCUUGUUUUUCUGAUCUUACAUUCCAUCACUUUGAUCCAGUACUCUCAAAAUGCAAUCACAGUUGUACAUGUCUUCUCCUGUCAAUAAACGCUACCUUAGUACUGCAGUUCCUUAA
ensembl:lncRNA novel transcript